rnacentral:rRNA from 1 species
AUGUGGAAUGAUGAUCUUAAAAUCUCUGUUCAUAGUUCCUCCUUUCACUUUAUCCUAGCCAAUGUAGUUCAUCUAGCCUCGGGGGUUCACUUUUGUUUGAUAUGUAUAUAUGGUGAUCCUUAUCAUAGGCAGACUAGUGCCAUUUGGAAUCAGGUUUCCACUUUUGUGUAUGAUAACCUCGGGAAACCCAUGAUAUGUAUGGGAGACCUUAAUGAUAUUUUGUAUGAUACAGAUGGCUGUAAUGGUAGUGUAAAUUAUUUUCGUAUGUCUGCUUUUCGUUCUAUUGUCAAAAACUGCGGUUUCUUUGACAUCGGUUUUAGUGGUCCUGCUUACACUUGGCGCAAUAGGCAGCACACUGUUAAUCCUAUUUACAGACGUUUGGAUCGUUGUCUUGUUAAUGCUGAUUGGUGUGCUCAUUACCCCAAUACUAAGGUGCUUAAUUUACCUAUCAUCGUUAGUGACCAUGCUCCCAUACUUAUUUCUACUGAUGGUAGUUUUGUUAAACCUAAGCAGACUUUCAAAUUUGAAAAUUGGUGGUUAAUGGAGAAGGAUUUCAGUAGUUUUGCUAAGUCUGCUUGGAACAAUGCUAGAGCAGGCUCUUUUGUUGCAAAAACCUCUUCUUUGGCAGGGGCUUCGAAAACUUGGUGUAGGAAGAAGAAACCUUUUCAGCAAGAGCUUCAGGAACUAGAAUCUAGUAUCAAGCAGAUUUAG